AUGAGAGUAUCAGCUGUUCCGGACGACUGUGUGAUCACACUCUCCGUAGCCGACGUGAGUAAGACCUUUAAACAGGUCAACAUACACAAGGCUGCGGGGCCAGAUGGAUUACCAGGACGUGUGCUCCGGGCAUGUUCUGACCAAAUGGCAGGUGUCUUCACUGACAUUUUCAACAUGUCCCUGAUUGAGUCUGUAAUACCAACAUGUUUCAAGCAGACCACCAUAUUCCCUGUGCCCAAGAACACAAAGGCAACCUGCCUAAAUGACUACAGACGCGUAGCACUCACGUCCGUAGCCAUGAAGCGCUUUGAAAGGUUGGUAAUGGCUCACAUCAACACCAUUAUCCCAGAAACCCUAGACCCACUCCCAUUUGCACACCGCCCAAACAGAUCCACAGAUGAUACAAUCUCUAUUGCACUCCACACUGCCCUUUCCCACCUGGACAAAAGGAACACUUAUGUGAGAAUGCUAUUCAUUGAUUACAGCUCAGCGUUCAACACCAUAGUACCCUCAAAGCUCAUCACUAAGCUAAGGAUCCUGGGACUAAACACCUCCCUCUGCAACUGGAUCCUGGACUUCCUGACAGGCCUCCCCCAGGUGGUGAGGGUAGGUAGCAACACAUCUGCCACACUGAUCCUCAACACUGGAGCUCCCCAGGGGUGCGUGCUCAGUCCCCUCCUGUACUCCCUGUUCACCCACAACUGCAUGUCCAGGCACGACUCCAACACCAUCAUUAAGUUUGCAGACGACACAACAGUGGUAGGCCUGAUCACCGACAACGACGAGACAGCCUAUAGAAAGGAGGUCAGAGACCUGGCCAGGUGGUGCCAGAAUAACAACCUAUCCCUCAACGUAACCAAGACUAAGGAGAUGAUUGUGGACUACAGAAAAAGGAGGACCGAGCACGCCCCCAUUCUCAUCGACGGGGCUGAAGUGGAGCAGGUCGAGAGCUUCAAGUUCCUUGGUGUCCACAUCAACAACAAACUAGAAUGGUCCAAACAAACCAAGACAGUCGUGAAGAGGGCACGACAAAGCCUAUUCCCCCUAAGGAAACUAAAAAGAUUUGGCAUGGGUCCUGAGAUCCUCAAAAGGUUCUACAGCUGCAACAUCGAGAGCAUGGUUGCUGGUUGCAUCACUGCCUGGUACGGCAAUUGCUCGGCCUCCGACCGCAAGGCUACAGAGGGUAGUGCGUACGGCCCAGUACAUCACUGGGGCUAA
rnacentral:lncRNA from 13 species